rnacentral:rRNA from 1 species
AUGGAGGCCGGCGUGGGAGGGGGCAACUGCGCGGGCCUCGUCGCCGUCGCGGCGGUUUCGGCCGCCGUCACGCUCGCCACCGUGCGCCUCUUCCGCGGCCUCGAGUCGGACUUCAGGAAGAAGAUCCAGCUCCAGGGGCACGGGGCCCAGAUGACCGGCGGCGUGAGGCCGGCGACGGGGAAGAAGAAGGUGCGGUUCGCGGACGACGUGGUGGAGCCGUCGUCCAACAACGACGAGUACCGGAGAAGAAGGCAGCGGUUGGUCGCUGGCCAGACGUCGUAG